UGGUAAUGGGAUGGUGUAGUGUAUAAUCCCGCUGCAGAUUUCUAUUCCAAGAGAAGACGUAAUUUAUACCUUGUCUAAUUAGUAAAGAUAUUGCCAUUGUGAGAGUAUGAGAAUUAGUUGUGAUAGAUCAAAUGCCUGCUACUCAUGUGAGUUUAUGGCUGUAAUACUUUCAUGCGUUGUCUACUUAAAACAGGUUUAGCUCUAGGAUUCCCUUUGACUGCCUUGUUACAGAAUGUCAGAGCGAAAUUGUCCUACCUCUCAACUGGUGAUUGUUCUGUAUGGUAACAUGAGCAGUGUGGCCUGACUUCCCCCUUAUUACAGAUGUCCGGUAUAGAUAUGUUGAGCAUCCUGCUAUGAUGUCUAUCACCAAGCUGGAACACUCAGAGGCCAACCCUCAGAGCCAGACUUGCAGUUGUCCGGUGUCUUAGCCUGAGAUGUCUGCUGGCUCAGCUGGGUCUUUGGGAUUGGAAAGGUUAAUGAGGAGGUUCAUCUACCUGAGGAUAGAGGCAUAUCUGUCUGGAAGCUGUUAUUAAUAUUAUUUAUAGAAACAAUUGAGUGGAAUAAUAUUUUUAUCUGCGGCUUGAUUUACAUUGUUAUUGUCUUCUUCCUUAGAUUGACCGGGAUCCAACUCUGCACAGAUGGGUCGACAAAACUGAGCCCAUGUCUGACGUAUACACUUAAAUUCAAUUCAAUUUAAAGCAGUGAAAGACUGUUGUAUUUCAACUGUGAGAAUGGUCCAAAUCAUUUAAAAACAAGCUUGCACCACCACCUCCACCGAUGAGGAUGUAUGGAUAUCAGGGGAACUCUGGUAGUCUCCCCAAAGGAAUGAAUCCUUACUAUAUGAAAGGUGAAUAAUGCUUUAUCUCCAAGACUGUACCAAAGCUGCAUAUCUGGACCCUGCUUGCACUUGCUAUAGCUUACAUUAUGGCAAUUAAGGUCAAAGUGAUUAAACUGCUAAGUACUUUUUGUGGGAUAGGAAAAAACCCAGGAUUAAUAUGAAGAAGAUGUGCUCACCAAGGGAUGUAGGAGGCUUGGCUUUACCAGAUGUUAAAUUGUCCAAUUUACCAUUUGAAAUGGCUAAAUUGGUGAAGCAAUGGGGCAAAAUGGGUGCUGGCUUGGAUUGGAUAACAAUAGAACGGGAACUAAGUUAUCCUUCCACCCCUGUUGAUACUCUGUUACAUAGUCUUUACAGGGGAGAGGUCUGUUGAUACUCUGGUACAUAGUCUUUACAGGGGAGAGGUCUGUUGAUACUCUGUUACAUAGUCUAACAGGGGAGAGGUCUGUUGAUACUCUGUUACAUAGUCUUUACAGGGGAGAGGUCUGUUGAUACUCUGUUACAUAGUCUAACAGGGGAGAGGUCUGUUGAUACUCUGUUACAUAGUCUUCCAGGGGAGAGGUCUGUUGAUACUCUGUUACAUAGUCUUACAGGGGAGAGGUCUGUUGAUACUCUGUUACAUAGUCUUACAGGGGAGAGGUCUGUUGAUACUCUGUUACAUAGUCUUUACAGGGGAGAGGUCUGUUGAUACUCUGGUACAUAGUCUUACAGGGGAGAGGUCUGUUGAUACUCUGUUACAUAGUCUAACAGGGGAGAGGUCUGUUGAUACUCUGUUACAUAGUCUAACAGGGGAGAGGUCUGUUGAUACUCUGUUACAUAGUCUAACAGGGGAGAGGUCUGUUGAUACUCUGUUACAUAGUCUUACAGGGGAGAGGUCUGUUGAUACUCUGUUACAUAGUCUUUACAGGGGAGAGGUCUGUUGAUACUCUGUUACAUAGUCUAACAGGGGAGAGGUCUGUUGAUACUCUGUUACAUAGUCUUACAGGGGAGAGGUCUGUUGAUACUCUGUUAUAUGUGGAUUUUCACAUCUUAAACAAGGACACUCAUCGUGGCACAAUCCUAGGCUACAGAUAGGAAAGAAGUCUGUGUACUGGAAACAGUGGCUAUUGAAAGGAAUUCAUACUAUAGGUGAUCUGUACAAUGAAGUUUUAAUGUCAUUACUCAUAUGCUACAAAAUAUGAUGUGGGAGACAAGGGACAUUUCUGGAAAUAUUUAUUAACCGGCUAUCAACAAAAUCCAGCAAAUAACCCAAUAGCUGAGUAUUUGGAAUUGCCCAAACAAUAAGCAGUCAUAUUUUACUCAAUAUUUAGUCAUCUGCAGAGUAAAGACUGUAAAAACCUCAGAACAAUAUGGCAAAUUGACCUUAAGUGUGAAAUUGAGGAUGAUACCUGGUUGAAGAUCUUGUCCAGCUCAGGGAGGAACAUAAGGGAAGCCAGGGGGAAACUUACUCAAUAGAAGAUACUACAUAGGUCUUAUUGGACCCCAACAAGGCUUCAUCAGAUGUGGCUGACAAACAGUUCUCUGUGUUGGACAUGCCAAAAAGACACUGGGACAUUUGUACACGCAAUAUGGUAAUGUACAUUACUGCUACCUUUCUGGAAGGAUGUUUUGAAAUGUCUGGAGGAAUGGUUGGGCUUAACAAUUCCAAUUUCACCGAGAAUAUCUCUUGGGCGAUAGAACAGAGUUACCUAAUGUAACAAAGUAGGAAUUUGCACUGAUGACUGUUGGUAUGGUUACCGCAGCUAGAGUAAUCCUUAGAUUUUAGAAGGGUCAUUCCACUCCUACUCUGAAACAGUGAAUAUAGUCAAUGUUGGAGGUACAGUUGAAGUCGGAAGUUUACAUACACCUUAGCCAAAUACAUUUAAACUCAGUUUUUCACAAUUCCUGACAUUUAAUCCUAGUAAAAACGCCCUGUCUUAGGUCAGUUAGGAUCACCACUAUUUUAAGAAUGUGAAAUGUCAGAAUAAUAGUAGAGAGUGAUUUAUUUCAGCUUUCAUUUCUUUCAUCACAUUCCCAGUGGGUCAGAAGUUUAC
rnacentral:lncRNA from 1 species